AGUCAUUAUCUUUCCAUUUUUAAGAUUCUUUCCUUGUUUAUUUUGGCAACCAACACCACGACUGUAGAACAUUCGAUGGAGCAUAAAUGCAUUAUGCGCUUGUCGUUAUGUUGAAACGUACCCGUGCCCGGCUCCUUCCUGCCUUCUACGGGGAUGUGAACCUUGCAUGAGUGCCUGCGCUACAUCCUAUCCCUGUGAUAGAGAGUGUGAAUGCUUAAAAGCGUUGGUGGGCUUUCCUGAAGUAACAUAUCCGAUGCCAGUGCUCGAGUAUAGACCAUGCCGCUGUGGUUGUGCUUAUUAAAUUAUAAUUGUAUAGUAUUUGCAAAUAUGGCAAUAAUCCAAAGAAAAUUUGCAGCCAUAGUUGAUCCAUUCUAAACCAGAUUCACUUGUAAUUUUGAAAACUCUGACAUUUCGGUUGACGGACGGACCAUGGAGACACCAUAGUUUCUGGUGACUGUCGCCUAAAAAAAGUCACAUCUGUAUCAGAAAUUUGUGAGUGCCCCAAUGGUAUACCUAUAAUAUGACUAUGUUAUCUUAACAUAGUUAUAUUAUAGGAGUAUUGCAUGUUUUAAAUAUGUGAUAAAAUAUUAAUUUUCAAUUAAAACUAAAAGUAUUUUAAAAUAACGCACAUAUGAUCGGCUACACAUAUAUUUGUAAAAUUAAAUAUGGAUUAAAGUAAUAUUUGCAAGUUACAACAAUGAAUAAAUGAUUUUAUUACAAAA